AGGGACUCGGCCCAGAGUCUCCCGGGUCUCUGCGGGGUCCGUGUGCCUGGUCUGGGAACUGGAGCUGCGGGUUAUCCUGGUGACUGGAGGCUGGGGGCUUUUUUAUCCGAGCUGGACCUGGACCUGUUCAUUCCAACACCUGUUGACAGCAAGAAAACAAAUAUCAAAUCAUUGAGCUCUAAUGAAACAUCAAUCACAGCUCAUGAGCGAGAGAAGCUGAGAUGUUUUAAAACUGUCAACUGUUGAACAAAAGGCCGAGACCAGAAGAAACCAAACACAGGCUGAGAGCAGCAGGAGAAAGGUUUGUGUCAAAACAACAAAUCAAAGAUGCAACAGCAGUUUCUCCUCGAUGUUUAACUGCUCAUUGAGAAAGAAGAAGAAGAAGAAGAAAGAAGAAGAAGAAGAAGAAGAAAGAAGAAGAAGAAGAAGAAGAAGAAGAAGAAGAAGAAGAAGAAAGAAGAAGAAGA